AGUGAACGCUGGCGGUAGGCCUACCCCAUGCACGUCGAACGCGUGGCGGACGGGUGAGGAAUCCCUCGGAAUCUCCUCUGUCGUGGGGGAUAACGUAGGGAAACUUACGCUAAUACCGAAUCCGCAUGAAUCAGCCGAUGUCGGAUUAGCUAGUUGGCGGGGUAAAGGCCCACCAAGGCGACGAUCCGUAGCUGGUCUGAGAGGAUGAUCAUCCACACUGGAACUGAGACAAGGUCCAGACUCCUGCGUGAGGCAGAAGUGGGGAAUAUUGGACAAUGGGCGCAAGCCUGAUCCAGCCAUACCGCGUGGGUGAAGAAGGCCUGCGGGUUGUAAAGCCCUUUUGUUGGGAAAGCGGUACCCAAAGAAUAAGCACCGGCUAACUUCGUGCCAGCAGCCGCGGUAAUAC
rnacentral:rRNA from 1 species